rfam:Camelus ferus unplaced genomic scaffold scaffold1533, whole genome shotgun sequence.
GAGGGUAUAGCUCAGUGGCAGAGUGUGUACUUAACAUGCACGAGGUCGUGGGUUCAAUCCCCAGUACCUCCA